rnacentral:rRNA from 1 species
UUCCGGUUGAUCCUGCCAGACCUGACUGCUAUCGGAUUGAUACUAAGCCAUGCGAGUUUUUGUAGUAAUACAAGGCAGACGGCUCAGUAACACGUAGUCAAUCUAACCUAUGGACGAGGAUAACCUCGGGAAACUGAGAAUAAUACUCGAUAGAUCAUUAUGCCUGGAACGGUUUAUGGUUAAAAUGAAUUUCGCCAUAGGAUGGGACUGCGGUCUAUCAGCUUGUUGGUGAUGUAAUGGACCACCAAGGCUAUAACAGAUACGGGCUCUGAGAGGAGAAGCCCGGAGAUGGGUACUGAAACACGGACCCAGGCCCUAUGGGGCGCAGCAGGCGAGAAAACUUUGCAAUGUGCGAAAGCACGACAAGGUUAAUCCGAGUGAUUCCUGCUAAAGGAAUCUUUUGUUAGUCAUAACACCACUAAUGAAUAAGGGGUGGGCAAGUUCUGGUGUCAGCCGCCGCGGUAAAACCAGCACCUCAAGUGGUCAGGAUGAUUAUUGGGCCUAAAGCAUCCGUAGCCGGCUUUGUUAGUUUUCGGUUAAAUCCAUAUGCUCAACAUAUGGGCCGCCGGGAAUACUACAAAGCUAGGGAGUGGGAGAGGUAGACGGUACUCCGUAGGAAGGGGUAAAAUCCUUUGAUCUAUGGAUGACCACCAGUGGCGAAGGCGGUCUACCAGAACACGUUCGACGGUGAGGGAUGAAAGCUGGGGGAGCAAACCGGAUUAGAUACCCGGGUAGUCCCAGCUGUAAACUAUGCAAACUCAGUGAUGCAUUGGCUUGUGGCCAGUGCAGUGCCGCAGAGAAGUCGUUAAGUUUGCCGCCUGGGAAGUACGUACGCAAGUAUGAAACUUAAAGGAAUUGGCGGGGGAGCACCACAAGGGGUGAAGCCUGCGGUUCAAUUGGAAUCAACGCCGGA